AGCAGCCGCGGUAAUUCCAGCUCCAAUAGCGUAUAUUAAAGUUGUUGCAGUUAAAAAGCUCGUAGUUGAAUUUCGGGAUCAAUAUAUUGGUCGUGCCUCCGGUAUGCACUGGUAUCAUUGAUUUCUACCUUCUGACGAACUAUGAUGUCAUUAAUUUGGUGUCAUGGGGAAUCAGGACUGUUACUUUGAAAAAAUUAGAGUGUUUAAAGCAGGCACACGCUUGAAUACAUUAGCAUGGAAUAAUGAAAUAGGACGUUUGAUCCUAUUUUGUUGGUUUCUAGGAUUGACGUAAUGAUUAAUAGGGAUAGUUGGGGGCAUUAGUAUUCAAUUGUCAGAGGUGAAAUUCUUGGAUUUAUUGAAGACUAACUACUGCGAAAGCAUUUGCCAAGGAUGUUUUCAUUAAUCAAGAACGAAAGUUAGGGGAUCGAAGACGAUCAGAUACCGUCGUAGUCUUAACCAUAAACUAUGCCGACUAGGGAUCGGAUGAUGUUAAUUUUUUAAUGACUCA
rnacentral:rRNA from 1 species